CCCACCGAUUUUUAUCCUCCACGGGCCGAAAAAAAAACAAGCAUUGAAACCUACGUACUCUUCCUCCCUCGUGCUCCCCCCAAGCCGCCGCCGCACACCCCAGUGCCCAGCCCCUCCCUCCCUCCUUCGUCCCCUAUCGCCGCUCCCUAGCCGAGUGCCCCAUCCAUCUAUCUAAUGAGACUGCAAGGGUCGUGAUUUGGGUGCCUCUCCUACGAGGAAUCGGCGCGGCUGUACUCAUCGCAGGUGGCGGCGGCUCUUAGCAAGGGCACGUUCGGAAGAGCAGGUGGCGCGUACAAGGUCGCGUGGAGAUCCAACGACCCGAACUUCGCCUCGGUAGAGGACGCCCCCAUAGGUGCGUCGAUCUCAAUCUUCUCCAUUACGGUUGUCUUCCUUGCCAGUAUAAGAUGGGUUCUUUCUAAUUCAGAUCUUGCUUGCCUUAUAUCAUGACAUGUUCUUUGCCGGUGUGAGCAUAGCAUGAUUCUUUCACCGGCAUGUCUUUUGUAUGGCAUUAAUUUUGUUCAGGAAUCAGUUUAAGUGAAGAUCGAUGGUUUUUAGAUUAAGUGGAGAAUACUGAUUACUCUUCUGAAGUGUAUUGUUGUUCAAUUGAGACAUAUGCAGUGGGCAUGAAGGCAGCAGGUUGAUUAAAUCCACGGUAAACGCUAUGCAUUCAGAAUUCCUAUAGUUAUAAAUAGGGUGAAAAAGAGAUAGACAACCAAUAUUGAUUUAUGAGCUGUUUAGUCAGCUCCUGCUGCUAGACGCUAGCGCCAGGGCGUGCAUCGCGGCUGUCCACUUUUGCCGACUGCUCCGGUGCAACGGUGCUCCUGCUGGUUGCUGUUAGCUGCUAGCGCCAGGGCGUGCAUCGCCGCCGUCGGCUCCGGUGCUCCUGCUGGUUGCCGCUAGCCGGCUAGCUGCUAGCCCGCUGUGGUUUGCACGUCACAUGCGCCUGGGCUCGUGGUGUUUGUUGUGUUCGUCAGUUCCUGUUCGUACCUUCGUGAUGACUGGUUCAGUGUGUCGUGCGUGUGGGUCAUAUGUCCAGCCAUUGAUAGGGCACGACCCAAAUUAGGAGCCUUCUCACAAGUCACGGCCCAACAUCAAAGAGAACUCAUUUUUUUCAGCUAUUUAUUGCACCUGUCACCCAUCGAUCGAGCUUAUACGGAUAUGUAUAUUACAGUAUAUUUUUCCGGAAAUAAAGGUGGGCUGGGCAUCCUGCCUCGCCCUACCUAGAGCUCCACCGGUGCUAUUGCUAAUAUCCUUGUCCUGUAGUAGCUUUAGUAUUUCUCACAUUUUUUCAGCUACAUGUGUAAAUGUAGUUACAUUUGAGAGAGCGGGAGAUAUUUCUUUGGGAUUAUUUUACAUAUCUUUGUUAUCUAGGUAUCUAAAUUAUUGCUGAAUGCAUCUUCAUGUGAGAAAAUGUGGACGGCUACAAGAGAAACAUAAACUUUGUCAUAUGAAGUUGGAAGUGUUGAACUGCUCAAACUUUCUACUUUGCAAACAAAUAAAGUGAUGCAAGGUACUCAGAUGUCUGUUGUUGAUGAGAAUUGACAUUGGGUUCAAAAUUAAAUUAGUGCUUAAUUGUUGCCUUGGUGAUUGCUACUAUUUCAUUGUUUCAGAAACAUGUCUACUCUUGGACUGUUUCAUAGUUUAUGUUUUCAAAUCCGCUAUAUACAUAUAUCUACCUCAUGUUAAUGCACUAUCAAAAUUGACUCAUUAAUUCCUUGUCACAUUAUUUUGCUCAGACUGGCUUGCCCCUAAUUUAUAAAUGCUGCCAAAUUUCGAAAUCUUACUUCAUAUGCAGCUGGAAGAAUUCCAAGAUAGAGCUAUUGCUUCAAGGUUGGGAUUGGCCACAACAUAAUUGACAUCAAAACCAGAUCUGGGUCCUACAUAUCCGGUGUUGCUCGUAUCCUACAAUGGUUUACAGAUGGUGUGGCUCCUUACAGUAAGAUGAUCAAGCAGCGAUCUAGAGUUCUCAAUACAGAUCGAUGACGCCUCCUCGGGAUCCACAUCUCCGCAGCCCCCAACCCUGGUAUAGUAUGAAAAACCUACAAAUAAAUCAGAAGAAUAGGUAAUUAUGGGAUGCUUAUGUUUUGUUGGUGUAGUAGUCGUUUUAAGUCCAGUCCUAGAGGAUGUUGCUUGACGCUUCCCUUUAGUCGAGUGACUUUGCAUGCUAAUAGUACAAUAGAUAAAUCUAAUUAAUACUCCCUCUGUCCCAAAAUAAGUGAUUUAAGUUUGUACUAAAGUUAGUACAAAGUUGAGUCAAUUAUUUUGGGACGGAGGGAGUACUUAUGAGUGCGUAAUGUUUUGUAAAAACUUUAAAUUCAUGGUGCAGUUGCGUCUUACCUUCAGUGUUGGCCUGUAGGUGUGUGUUUCAUCACUUCUCUGUUUCUUAUAACUGUCCUUGUUUUGUUUCUUAUAACUGUCCUUGUUUUGUUUCUUAUGUUUGUUUUUAGAUUUCUUUCAUCAACCUGCAGGCUCACUCAAGUUUUCCUUCAAUCUUCUACUUCGACCCCUAAUAUUUUCAUGCGAAAUGUUCAAGAAAUAUCCAAGAGAGAUACAACUGCACUCGGCUUCAGAAGAUACACUGGAGAAAUUUGUGUUGUUGUGUUUUGAGUGAUGACUCUACCUGUAGUAGAAAUCGAUCAGGAAUACAUGGACGUGGAUAUGCAUUAUGGUCGUACUAUGGAUGUGGAUAUGCUCGCCAUAUUAGCUAUAUCUUUUUCAUACUCCCUCCGUUCCUAAAUAUAAGUCUUUUUAGAGAUUUCAAUAUGGAUGUAUAUAGACAUAGUUUAGAGUGUAGAUUGACUCAGUUUGCUCAGUAUAUAGUCCAUAUUGGAAUAUCUAAAAAAAACUUAUAUUUAGGAACAGAGGGAGUACAUUUUUGUGUUUGCUCUCGGGAGUGGGUUGUGGCUGUUUGAUAACAGUCUAAUUUGGUUGUUUUUAUGAUCUUACCAAGACAUUUCACACCAUACAGAUGAACUAUUGCCAGUUUUAGUUCAUGAUUCCUGAUAUUUAUCUCCCAAUGGUUAUCCGUCUGCAUAGUUGCAUGCAACUACAAGUUACUGAUUUUUGAACUUCCAUUUCUUGAUCAAUUGACAUUGGAAAGUUAGCACUAUUAACACACUCUUUGUAGAACGUUGCUAAUACACUAAAAUGUAUUUGAAACUUAUUUUAUGGUAUACAAAGAUUACUUCUUGAUGUAUGUGAAAUCUAAACUCCUCUACACUAGAAGCACAAAGAAAUACGAAAUGAAACCCCACCUUGAAACCGUAAAAACAGAUUUGAUGUUGAUCUAUGAUAUACCCCAUUAACUGCAAAUUUCAUCUAAUAGACUGAUGUGUGACAGCAUUGAGACGCAAUGUGGAGCAAUGCAACUUCACAAUUGCACUGGUGGCAAGGGAAUAUUUUAACUCAGUGUUACAAAUAUGAAAGGGAACAAAGAGAGAAGACAUCACAUAUUAUGACCAUGGAAAUUGCUAUGAGGACAGCCCGACAGGAAAUGAAUUUGAUUAGGUUGUUGUCAUUAGAUGGUACCUCAGUGAGUAAGUUGGUGACAGCCUGCUAAUAAUGGGCGUCAAGGCCAAUCAAAUCCGGUUGGGAGCCAUAUCAUUGUGCGUCAGAUAAGGCAAGAAUCCGCGGACACUCCGUUGCCACUACUGUCGCCGGCGCUUGAUGCAGAUGGGUGAGUGAAAGGAGAAUGUGAAUAAGGAAGUGUGCACGACAAAGGAGUAGUUUGUACCUUUUUUUUAUCACAAUGGGGGAGUUAACCCACACGAGCUCCACGAUCUGCUGACUGGUAGUUGUCUGGUUAGAGCUGACCGAUAGUACAAUGGAGAGUGAGGCGGCACAGGGGCACCUCGUCGAUGACCCUGUCUAUGCUUCAUAGCCAAAACAUAAUCUUCUUUUGGUUAUUUGAUUUUCUUCAAGGAUCUGUCCCCUCAUGCUCCUCUUAUUGCCUCAAUAAAGUUUGGCCUUGUGGCAACUCACAAGGACAUACCUUGACAAUAGUUAUUUCAAAAAGAGAGGCAAAAGCAUCGCAUGAUAUAUAUCAUUUCAUAUAUCAUGGCAGGAAAAACACAUUGUGGUGGUCGCCCUUAGCUACGACGAUGUGCAUUCCUUGGCACCGGGAAUUGGCCUGGGAGGAGAGGAGGGGGCGAGUGACACCAGGGAGGAAAGGAGAGAUGGCGGCGAGAGGAAGGUGUGGGAUGAAUGACAUGGCAUCGAGGGGAAGCGACAGCAAGAAACCGUGGCGGGGAGAGAUGGCGGCGAGGACGCCGUGACAAGGAGAGUAGGCCGGGGAAAUGAGAUGCGAGUGUGAGCGUUGUGCCAUGCGGUGAGAGUCAGAUAGUGAACUGUUUUGUUUGUAUUAAGAUGAGAA